rnacentral:rRNA from 1 species
GAUGAACGCUAGCGGCAGGCCUAACACAUGCAAGUCGAGGGAGGAGCUUUCGGGCUUCGACCGGCGUACGGGUGCGUAACGCGUAUACAAUCUGCCUUUCACAUAGGGAUAGCCCGAAGAAAUUUGGAUUAAUACCUAAUGGUAUAUAGAGGUGGCAUCACCUUUAUAUUAAAGCUGAGGCGGUGAAAGAUGAGUAUGCGUUCUAUUAGCUAGUUGGAGAGGUAACGGCUCCCCAAGGCGACGAUAGAUAGGGGUUCUGAGGGGGAUAUCCCCCACACUGGUACUGAGAUACGGACCAGACUCCUACGGGAGGCAGCAGUGAGGAAUAUUGGACAAUGGUCGGAAGACUGAUCCAGCCAUGCCGCGUGCAGGAAGACGGCCUUAUGGGUUGUAAACUGCUUUUGCAGGGGAAGAAUAAGGACUACGCGUAGUUUGAUGACGGUACUCUGCGAAUAAGCAUCGGCUAACUCCGUG